rnacentral:rRNA from 1 species
AGGUGGUGCAUGGUUGUCGUCAGCUCGUGUCGUGAGAUGUUGGGUUAAGUCCCGCAACGAGCGCAACCCUCGCCUCUAGUUGCCAGCAUUCGGUUGGGCACUCUAGAGGGACUGCCGGCGACAAGUCGGAGGAAGGUGGGAUGACGUCAAAUCAUCAUGCCCCUUAUGACCUGGGCUACACACGUGCUACAAUGGGCGGUACAAAGGGCUGCGAACCCGCGAGGGGGAGCGAAUCCCAAAAAGCCGCUCUCAGUUCGGAUUGCAGGCUGCAACUCGCCUGCAUGAAGCCGGAAUCGCUAGUAAUCGCGGAUCAGCAUGCCGCGGUGAAUACGUUCCCGGGCCUU